rnacentral:rRNA from 1 species
UACGUAGGGGGCUAGCGUUGUCCGGAUUUAUUGGGCGUAAAGAGCGUGUAGGCGGCCAGACAGGUCCGUUGUGAAAACUAGAGGCUUAACCUCUAGACGUCGAUGGAAACCGUCUGGCUAGAGUCCGGAAGAGGAGAAUGGAGUUCCUGGUGUAGCGGUGAAAUGCGCAGAUAUCAGGAAGAACACCCGUGGCUAAGGCGGUUCUCUAGUACGGUACUGACGCUGAGACACGAAAGCUAGGGGAGCGAACGGG